rfam:Triticum urartu cultivar G1812 contig1165276, whole genome shotgun sequence.
CAAGUACUCCAUCCGUUCGAAAUUACUUGUCUUAAAUUUGUCUACAUACGGAGGUAUCUAACAUUAAAAUGAGUCUAGAUACAUCCGUAUCUAGACAAAUCCAAGACAAAUAAUUUAAAACGGAGGAAGUAGCAC